UGUUUCAGGGGUUUUAUUAAA
rnacentral:piRNA from 1 species